CUCAAUAGAUUCUGUAUUUGUUAUAGAUAUUGGGGGGAAAUGUGGAAACCCACCUCCCGUGGAGAAUGGAGAAAUUGUGGAGAUACCCAAGGCAACCUAUUUCCCGUCUGAAACUGUAACUUAUCAGUGCCAAAAUUUCUAUACAAUGGAAGGUUCUCCAAAAGUGACUUGUCAAAAUGGUCAUUGGUCACAACCACCUACAUGUAGAGUUGCUUGUACAGUAAAUGACGAAGAUAUGAGAGAACACAAUAUAAGUCUGAAGUGGAGCUACAGGAAUAAAAUAUAUGUUCCAGAUGGAGGAACAGUAGAAUUUGUAUGUUUAAGAGG